UCGUCAGCUCGUGUCGUGAGAUGUUGGGUUAAGUCCCGCAACGAGCGCAACCCUUGUUAUUAGUUGCCAGCAUUAAGUUGGGCACUCUAAUGAGACUGCCGGUGACAAACCGGAGGAAGGUGGGGAUGACGUCAAGUCAUCAUGCCCCUUAUGACCUGGGCUACACACGUGCUACAAUGGGCAGUACAACGAGAAGCAAGCCUGCGAAGGCAAGCGAAUCUCUGAAAGCUGUUCUCAGUUCGGACUGCAGUCUGCAACUCGACUGCACGAAGCUGGAAUCGCUAGUAAUCGCGGAUCAGCACGCCGCGGCGAAUACGUUCCCGGGCCUUGUACACACCGCCCGUCACACCAUGGGAGUCUGCAAUGCCCAAAGCCGGUGGCCUAACCUUCGGGAAGGAGCCGUCUAAGGCAGGGCAGAUGACUGGGGUGAAGUCGUAACAAGGUAACCGUA
rnacentral:rRNA from 1 species